GCCUGGGUGGCUCAGUUGGUUGAGCGUCCGACUUCGGCUCAGGUCACGAUCUCACGGUUUGUGGGUUCGAGCCCCGCAUCGAGCU
rnacentral:tRNA from 1 species